UAACCUCCACCGUAUGGCGGGCCCCCAGGCUGGCCUGGGCGAGUAUCUCUUUGAAAGACUCACCCUCAAGCAUGACUAGAGGC
rnacentral:pre_miRNA from 1 species